UACGGAGGGUGCAAACGUUGCUCGGAAUCAUUGGGCGUAAAGCGCACGUAGGCGGCUCGUUAAGUCGGAUGUGAAAGCCCUCGGCUCAACCGAGGAAGUGCAUACGAAACUGGCGAGCUUGAAUAUGGAAGAGGGUCGCGGAAUUCCCGGUGUAGAGGUGAAAUUCGUAGAUAUCGGGAGGAACACCAGUGGCGAAGGCGGCGACCUGG
rnacentral:rRNA from 1 species